UACGUAGGUGGCAAGCGUUGUCCGGAUUUAUUGGGCGUAAAGCGAGCGCAGGCGGUUCCUUAAGUCUGAUGUGAAAGCCCACGGCUCAACUGUGGAAGGUCAUUGGAAACUGGGGAACUUGAGUGCAGAAGAGGAGAGUGGAAUUCCAUGUGUAGCGGUGAAAUGCGUAGAUAUAUGGAGGAACACCAGUGGCGAAGGCGACUCUCUGGUCUGUAACUGACGCUGAGGCUCGAAAGCGUGGGGAGCAAACAGGAUUAGAUA
rnacentral:rRNA from 1 species